rnacentral:tRNA from 1 species
AGCAGAGUGGCCUAGUGGAAAGAACAGGGUCUGGGAGUCAGAGGACCUGGGUUCUAAUCCCAGCUCUGCCA